UCUUAGGAUAUACGUUUAGCAUAUAUACUAAAAAUAUACUGUAAAAUACAUCCCAGGCAUAUCCUCUGAAUAUAUCACAGAUAUCCUCUAAAUAGAUGCGAAUAUAUAUAAUAUAUAUAAUGGGAACAUUAUAAUAGAAAUAAGGGAAAAAAGUAAAAAACCGUAAAACAAAAUGAAACCUAAAAAGUUAACUUUUGAACAACUGAGAAGGAAAAUACUUAGUUUUUUUAGAUUUGCGUUGUUUUGGGAGACAUUUUAUUGGACACGUUUUUGUGCACAUCUACAUCGACGUCAGUGUUAAGUCCUAAAAAAAAACGAAAUCAAAUUUUUAAAAUAAGCUUGUUUUUAUUAUUUUUGGACACGAACGGGACAAGAAACGCUUUUUUAAUAAAAAUACCACAGAAAAUACGGAUUCAUGAUCCCAUUUGAGAACAGUGUUCGGCUGCAACCAAUGACGCAACUACUCGCGGUCGUGUUGUGCCGGACUCGCUCGAGUGUCGUCGGCUUCUCCUCCGUCUCGUCGACCGCCAUCUUUUCAGCCUUGUUUUUGUUGGCGGCAUACGGCUAUUAAUAUGACAAUUGUGUACCCAGGAGACGAAACUAUUGAUGCAUACUCCAACAACCUAAAUCAGCAUAUUCCAAAUGGUAAAACGUAAGAAGCGAUAUGGCAUGUUAGGAAGCCGAAAUAAGGUAGCCCUGAUAUGGAUACCUGGACCUUAGCACCUGGAGGGGACCGAAAAGACCAACCUUUUAGAAAGGCUAAAAAAGCAAUCGACACGUAGAGUAUAGAUGGGGUACUGUUUUAAGAACAUCAAUCCAAUGAAAAAACGCACAACUGAUUGUUAGGCAUGAGCAGGUCAAACCUGAAAACGUGACUGACAAGUAUACCGGUCACUGCAACCUCAAACACCACAUGCACAAAAUCGGCUUUGCGGAUGGCCACGACUGCAGGAUGGCCAGGGUUAAAAUGAGAGAAGAAAAUUAAAUAAAAAAUAUUAGUAGUAUUAAAAUUCAAUGCAAAUUUUGAAGCACAAUUGAUCCUAUCAGUACCGUUUCUAUUAUAUUAUGUGCUAGGUAUGUGCAUGUUCCUAGUUAAAAUUAGCAAUUCUUUACAAUUUGGAAAUCACUUUAAAUUUAAUGGUUGUUUUAAAUAUGUUUGCCAACCAGCCGGAAAUUCGCCAAUAAAAAUGAGAUGCCUUGUCGUAAAAUGCAAUUCAAUAAACAAGCCAGUGAAAACAAAGAGGUAAAAAAUCGAUUAGGUUACUACAGGCGGGCAAUCUGCGAGCAGAAUGCCUCGUGCCAAGCACAUUCGGUGGUCAGGCGCAUCUGCAGCUUGCACCGGUCUUCAUUACAGCGAAGUUAUCCCGCAUUUAAAUUGAUAGGAACUUCUCUCAAGCACAGAUGCGGCGAAACAAUAUUGUUAACACAAAGACCAUAACUAGUGAGGUUUGCCGAAUUUGUUGUUUUUCAAGUUGGUGUGAUAUAUUAAAGGUUAUUAAUUUGCUUAGCUUAUAAUUAUUUGAGAGUAUGAAAAUUUAGAAAACAUUUCGAGACGAAUGUUAGCAUGUCUAAAGUUUUGGUUAGCUUAGCCCAACAAACGAUUUGAGUGCGAUAGAUCUAAAUUUAAUCAUCUAGUUUUCUCAAACUACUUUAAACUUUAAAGAUUUUUCUACAUAGACUCUUAUGAACUCCUGUUCUUCUUAACUUUCUGGAUAAACCCUUGAAACAAAUUGGCAGAUUUAUUUAUUUAUUUAUUUAUUUUAUUUAGUAUAAAAAUAGCUGGUCGUUAGGUGUGCAAAAGUGUAACAAUAGUAAAUAACAUUAAACAUUAAACAUUAAAAUUCAUAUAGAGGCUGGUUCCUAAUCAAUGCGUUCAAAAAGUAAAAUUAAAAAAAUUAUUAAAGCAUUUUAAAAAAGGAGCAAAUUAUGUUGAUUUUUAAUUUAUUUUAAAUUUCAAAAUAUUUGAUAUUUAUAACAAUGCAGUUUACUUGAAAAUUGCAAUUAAGUAUUAAGUUUUUACUUGAAUUUCAAAAGUAGCCACAAUUCCUGAAUGGUCAUCCAUAUUUGUUAAAAAAUUCCCACAGUUACAUUGAUUGCUUUGCAAAGUUUCCAUUGCAGAUUUGUUCCAUAUGUUGUAUAUCUUAUUUUGCGUAAAAAUAUAUACAAAAAAAACCAAUAAAAAUAAUCCAUGGUGUGUUCCAUUAAAUAAUGUAACAUACGUUAUAGUGGAAGAAGGGUGGCAAUGAAUUUUACAUAGAAAGUUAUAUCAUGCGUCUUCGUUAAGACAUGAGAAAAUAUAUAGGGGACUACCGUAAAAUAUAACCUCUGAUAAGCAAUCAAAAAAAUUCAGCCUCAAAACCCUUCAUUCUUUAUUUCCCAAAAAUGUUAUAUUUUUUUUUUGUUAAAUGCUAUGAAAUAUUGCAUAAAUUCUAAUAUAGUUUCCAUGCACUUGUUGUGGGUGGAACAUAGCAAACCCGACAUUAAAACCUUGUUGGCAGUCACCAUUCUAUGAAUUUAAUCGAAUAAAUGCAAAUAAAUAUUUUAAUAAAAUUCCAAAUAAUUAGAUGAAUAAUGGCAGAUGGCAACGAACGUAAUGGUCCUAAUCUUCCUUAUACAGAAAUAAGGAUAAAAUUAAAAAAAACUUAGUUGAGGGGCUAGUCAUAUUUCUCCUAAAUUACCUACCAGAAUCGAAAUGAUUAGCUGUGGAUGGUAAAUUUUGCAUUUGACUGAUGACUAGUAGAAAGAAACCACGAACUUUAAUUUCCACUUUCGAGUCUCAAUGCUUCAGUGAAAAUUAUUGAUAUUUUUUUAAACGAAAACAUGUUAAUUGCUUAAAUAGGGACGUCGGUUAUUUUAAAAUGUUUUAUAUUUUGAAUUUAAGGAAUUUAUUCAUUGAAAUCUUGGGACCUUCAGAUAUGCCAUAAUAUAAGCAUUUGAAACAAUGCUUAAAAUAAGUAUUUCUUAUUUUUCUAAAGAAAACCUUUGAAAAGGUUCUGUUUUAAAUAUGGUGCUGCGGUUUCAGUAUUAGUUUUUAGUUUUUUUUUCAGUAUCAGUUUUUAGUUUAUCCGCUUUCUUUUUGGGAAAGCUGGAGUAAUAACGAAUCGAAGUUGUAAACGAUUUGUUACGGUUUUUAUGAGUUUAAAUUAAUUUUUCUCCCGGUUAUUUUAAACAAUUAUGUAAUUGCGUCGUCCUGAGAAAGGAACAAGGAAGCAGUAGACCAAAAAGUUAUGUACUUGCUGUCAUAAUAUGUGUUAUUAAGGUAGCUAUUAAAUACCCGCCUGGAAAUCAUAUUUGAUAUUAUA